rnacentral:rRNA from 1 species
UGGGGAAUAUUGCACAAUGGGCGCAAGCCCGAUGCAGCCAUGCCGCGUGUAUGAAGAAGGCCUUCGGGUUGUAAAGUACUUUCAGCGGGGCGGAAGGCGAUAAGGUUAAUAACCUUGUCGAUUUACGUUACCCGCAGAAGAAGCACCGGCUAACUCCGUGCCAGCAGCCGCGGUAAUACGGAGGGUGCAAGCGUUAAUCGGAAUUACUGGGCGUAAAGCGCACGCAGGCGGUCUGUCAAGUCGGAUGUGAAAUCCCCGGGCUCAACCUAGGAACUGCAUUCGAAACUGGCAGGCUAGAGUCUUGUAGAGGGGGGUAGAAUUCCAGGUGUAGCGGUGAAAUGCGUAGAGAUCUGGAGGAAUACCGGUGGCGAAGGCGGCCCCCUGGACAAAGACUGACGCUCAGGUGCGAAAGCGUGGGGAGCAAACA